rnacentral:lncRNA from 1 species
GCUUUUAACUACAAAAACAUCCAUUCAUUACUGAUGCAAAAUGUUGCAUAAUGAAACACAUGAGAUGGCCCUUACAAUGGACCAUUACGUUUCGGGCAAAACGUAUGGCUUUCAUGCAAACAAAAAUUGAAAAACAGAAAUACUACUCUUCAGAAUGAGUGACAGUGAUGCUCUUGGAGGCCUUCCAAUUGCCUGGUACGCAUGACUUUAUCCACGCCUCAAGCUCGCGGUCGUUGUCAACAUCUUCACCCACUGAACGGGCAUGACCAGGAUCCAACAUUCCUG